UCUAAACGACUCUCGGCAACGGAUAUCUCGGCUCUCGCAUCGAUGAAGAACGUAGCGAAAUGCGAUACUUGGUGUGAAUUGCAGAAUCCCGUGAACCAUCGAGUCUUUGAACGCAAGUUGCGCCCGAAGCCUUYUGGCYGAGGGCACGCCUGCCUGGGCGUCAC
rnacentral:rRNA from 1 species